rnacentral:tRNA from 1 species
AUCCGUCGAUUUUAGAAAUCGUGAGGGUUCAAG